rnacentral:rRNA from 1 species
AUUGAACGCUGGCGGCAGGCCUAACACAUGCAAGUCGAACGAGUGGCGGACGGGUGAGUAAUGUCUGGGAAACUGCCCGAUGGAGGGGGAUAACUACUGGAAACGGUAUCUAAUACCUCCUACCAUCGGAUGUGCACAGAUGGGAUUAGCUAGUCGGUGGGGUAACGCCUCACCUAGGCGACGAUCCCUAGCUGGUCUGAGAGGAUGACCAGGCAAGCGGGAACUGUGAAACGGUGAAGACGAGUACGGGAAGCAGCAGGGGGGAAGAUUGCACAAUGGGCGCAAGCCUGAUGCAGCGAGGCCGCGUGUAUGAAGAAGGACAUCGGGUUGUAAAGUACUUUUAGCGAGGAGGGGUUACUCGCAGAAGAAGAACCGGCUAACUCCGUGCCAGCAGCCGCGGUAAUUC